rnacentral:rRNA from 1 species
UACGUAGGGUGCGGGCGUUAAUCGGAAUUACUGGGCGUAAAGCGUGCGCAGGCGGUUUUGUAAGCCAGAUGUGAAAUCCCCGGGCUUAACCUGGGAAUGGCAUUUGGGACUGCAAGGCUCGAGUGCGGCAGAGGAGACUGGAAUUCCUGGUGUAGCAGUGAAAUGCGUAGAUAUCAGGAGGAACACCUGAGGUGAAGACGGGUUGCUGGGCCAACACUGACGCUGAGGCGCGAAAGCCAGGGGAGCAAACGGG